rnacentral:lncRNA from 1 species
CGGAGCUCCGCGCCUCGACCCCCAGAUCGCCCCUCGACUUUCGGUCCCUAGGUCGCUCGGUGUCCCGCACCCCACGACCUCGCGCGCUCCCAAGUCCCUGUGCCCGCUCUUCUAACCCCACAACCCCGUCGCAGUCCUCCGCCCUUUCUCGCUCUCCAUCUGUCAGUAGGUCUGUCUGUCUGCCUCCCCACCCUCCUUUUCCUUCCUCUCACCCGCUCUGCCGGCUUGUUCGCUAGCUCGACUUGGCAGAGCAACUUCGCAGGAAAAUCCCAGAAACCUUUGCAGAAAGCUUACAAUGAAAUUUAAGAAGUUCUACGAUUUCGGCGCCAUUUUCGAGUGGAGUGAGAGGUUGUUUAGCUUUUCCAGUAUGAAACUCGACAUUGGAAAAGUUUGGCUCGAAGGUGCGGAGGACGUGUACAUCGUGCGUUUUGGGUGUGGGGGCGCACACAUCUGCGACAUUGAAAGACAAAACGUUCUCAACUGGGAAGAGAGGAAGAGGCGUAUUCUUUGGCUCUUAAAUCAUUUGGCCAAACACAUCGCAGUUCUGAAGGGGGUGGGGCCAUGGCAACUCUAAAGUAUUGAUUCUUUGUCUAUUGUAUCAGCGAAUGACCCUCUCCAGAAGUGACCAGACGCUUCUUUGUGUUCUUCUUUAGGCGACCACCGAUGGUUUUUUUCCUCCAUUCCGUGUCCAUGAGAAAAUGAUUUGUAAUAUAGCCAAGACAAGCUGGGAUUUAGAAACUCGUUCCAACUUAAGGAGUGGGGCUAUUAUUAUUAAUGACUUUAUUUAUCAUGACCUUAUGGCUUUAUUAUCAGUGCAUUUGUUAGCGCUGGAUCACAAUCUGUUGUGUUAGGAAUUUUGUACUUAGUUUAAUUACAUACUCUGUAUAUUUAAUUAAUUAGUUAAUUAAUUAGUAGGACCCAGCAUUCAUUGUAGUAGUUUUGAAAAUCUGACAUAAUUUUAAAUGAAAAUAAGGAAAUUUGGCGACAUUAAAUCUUUGUUUAUGUAUACAGAAUGUACUUUUACUUUCAAAGGCACUAUAGUUUUAUUGUUUUAAUUAUUAGGUUUGUGGUUAAGUAGUGAAGGAUUUUUUUGGUUUGUGCUUUCUUGAAUGUUUUGUUUAAGCAAAAGGAAAUGAAUGAAUGUAAUUUAUUGCUCCGGUGUCCAUUUUGAAAAUCAAGAGGGGGGGGGCCUGAACAGUGCCGGCCAUUUCAAGAAAUGAGUUUCUGUGGAGUUGCUUGAGAAGGAGCCAUUUUAACAUCAAGUACUUAAAGUUGUUGAUUUGUGAUUUGAUAAGUGACAUUGAUAAAUGUCAAUUAUUUAUAAAGUAGUUUGAGUAACCAGCAAUGUAUGAAGACAUCUAGGGGUUUCAAUCUAGAACAUUCUCAUGCUUUGUCCUUAUAACUAAUGGCAGACAAGGUGUUUACUGUUAGAAUGGAGGAAACUACUAGCCAUAAGUUAAAAGCAACUGGUCACCCAGAGGGUUUUUUUAAAUCAAAAGUUCCUUACAUUGAUUCCAAUAAAUGACCCCAAACUGGGGACAAUAAAUGACACUUAUACAAUGCAGCAGGAAGUUUCACCGAGACUUUGGAGCUGGCAAGAGUGAUCCAGAUGUUACCAAAUUGUCUCAAUUUAAUUAAUCUCACUUUUCAUCUACUUUCUGAGGUACCCUGAGCGACCCCCACCUUUGCUUACUCCGAAGGGAUGCAGCAGCAAUUCAUGUUUUGGAGUAUUGUAAAGGUUCAAAACAUGAAGCGCUGCAACACCCCUUCGCGGGGAACUUAGAAGGUGGGGGCCUGCAGAACAGACCCGUGUGGGUUCUCCUAAAAAAGCCCCAAAGCAGGUAGGUGGGCGGGCAGGGGCUUGUCUGUCUCUUCAUUCAGGACAGGGCCUUAGUCUAGUAAGGGCCACUCUACACUGUUCAAGGGCCUGGGAGGGGGUGACUGCUAAGCAAGAUGGCCAUGCACUUGGAGGAGGGACAAGGUAGCCUGCGCUCAGCCCACCACACUCAGUCGUGCCCUAGCAGCGUCCAAAACAGUACUGCAGUAUUUGGUAAGCUGGAGUAUUGUUUCCGCUGCUCGGGUAAGUCUGGGACUAACACAUGGGCACACCCACCAGGUAAGUUUCAGUCCAUCGCCUGCAGCGUAGGCCCCAAGGGGAGCAAGACUCCAGAACAGCUCCAGACUAGAGCUUUUGUGUUUGUCUUCCGUGAAACAUUUGCCCAUCUGUGAAUAUGUGACUGGGUGUGACAGAAACUUUGUUGUUAGCACCUCAUUCCCUGCCCAGGUAAAACUGAACCGACUGGAAAGAAAGCACUUCCCGAUCACCUAGUAGAAUACCACCCGCAGGACAGCAAUGAAUAAAGUUUGUCUUCAGUCCUCAACAACAAGAUGGGAGGGGGUUCCCGCAAAGGAAUAUGAAGGGGUCCGAAAGUGGUCAGAAGGGUGACUUGAAGCAAUCCCCAUUUCUCUCUGCAGUUCCUACUGAAGGAGCUUAGGUACUGUAUAAAAAAGGACUUUAGGGGUCAGGAAAGAUUAAGGGUCCCACAGCUGUGCUAGUGGGGGUGUCCCUGGAUCUCAGGCAUCCAAAAGAAGCACCUAGCCUUGGUGGUGGUGAACCCCAGAUGACACAGUGAGGAGCCCUAACAGAGUGACGUGCUACAUUUCUAGACCCUCUUAGUCCUCAUUUCCCAAAGUCAUCACACAAGUCUACCCUAGCAGCAGGGACUCAAGGGACACCCUUGUCACUGCCUGGAAGCUUAGUAUUGACAGGCUGUAAGAAAAUGGCAAGCAGCACCACAGCUACGUGCUGUGACUAAUGACCAGGGCACCUCUAUAGUCCUCUCGUGCUACCUCCAGUUCCUAGAGGAGCCCUUUGAGCCUGCAGUGAGAAAAAGAGGUCCAAGAGUCACCUGGGAACUGGAGAAGAGUGUUAAUUAAAUGAGCAAGGCCUUACUUUUCCUGUGAAAAUCACUUUAUAUUGUCUGGAGCAUGGGAAUGUAAAGGAGUAUUGGAAAAUGGGGUGGGGCGAAAUCUCUUUGCUUUGUCAUCUUUAAAAAAAUAAAAUACACAUACACACACCCUUCUGGUCUGUAUGAGCUACCUUGUAGUGAUCUUCCCCAGGGACUGGGCCCCGGCCCCCAUAAAAUUUACAGUUAGAGGAGGCCUUGUGCGCCUGGGAGUCUAGCUCUAGCCAACAAAUGCCUUUCUCCCAGACUCCCUUGCGCUUGAGCAAUGUGUGGGAGGUGGUUUAGGUUCCUUUGGGCCCCCAAGGACCCCCGGGAUCCCAGGAGCACCAAGAGCCCUCUGGACUUCGGCCAAGCCUUGUCUCCAUCUCCCCCUUCCACUUUUUGAAGCCACGCCCCCAGCUUCUGCCCCACCCCGCGCCCCGUGGCAGGGCCCCUCUGUCCCGGAAUCCCCAGGGCAAAUGGCUAACAGGUUCAGGCAUCCGCGUUCCUAUGCAAUGGAUUGGAGGAGGGGCAGUUUGAGACUCCUUACUCUCCCUCACCAGCUUCCCUUCUCCCUUUCCGCUGUUCAACAGGCUUUUCCCUCAAACCAGAGGAAGAGCCCCGGGGUGCAUUGAAGGCGCCCACCCAUCCAGAAGGAUCCAACCCGCGCCAUCCGGCUUCUUCCAGUGGGUGCCUGCAGGACUCAGGCACCUUUGUUCCAGUUGGCAUGUUAACUUGCUUUUCCCACCAAAUGAGUCAGUCAUGAGAGGAGCAUCAAUUGACUUGAACAGAUGUGUGUCAAUGUUACUUGGAAAAACUAGAUGCCAAUCACCAGGGCCACAGAAAAAGGUAGUGGUUGUAACUCUAAAGCAUUUACUCGUACACACAGACAAGGACAAAAGUAGAAUCCUAAACAGGGAAACAUUUGGAUGUACUCCAGUGCUGGGAGACUAAAUAAUUGUAUGUUGCUUUUGAUUUCCAUUAACAUGGGCAACUAUCCAAUUAAACAAACACCCAAUAAGGACUCUGCAGUACACAUUAUUUUGCUGAGUAAACUAAAACACCAUAACCUGUCAAUCCAUCGAGGAGAGGAGAUGGGAAUAGCAAGGGACUGGGUUUGUUCCUUGAAUCCUGGGGAAAACAUGAUUCUACAAGACAGAAGUUAAUUGACAGGCAGCUUUCCUGAGAGACUGUGUAGGAUGAAAAAUACAAAUAAGAUUCAAAAAGUAUGUUUGAGGAAGAACAAUGCAUGCGUAUGAUAAGAGAUUGGAGGACUCGAACUAGGGGCUAUACCAAGUUGACAUUAAUUUCUAGAGAUCUGUUUUCCCAUUGGCCAGAAGCAUGUCUCAAGAUCCCAGAAGUUUAUAUGUUCAUCUUUAUUUAGAGUUUAUUGCAUAACUCUUAAACGAAACCCAGUACGUAUACACCAAUCAUGCCAAAUAUGUAUCUCCCUGGCCCAGUCAGUACAGCUUGCCUAUGACCAUCCAUUAGUAUCUGUUCACCAAGCUAGGACACCCUGGCUCUAUCCUAAUAUUUCACCCAUCUGCUUCCCUUCCUGGCUUUACAAUUGAUCUCAGGUUCAAAAGGGCUAGAGCCUUAAGCUGCGUCAUUAGGGAGGAGCCUCUAUAGACUUCCACUCCUGUGCUCCCUCAGUCUUGGAGCACUCCCCUUAAGCGCUUGAGCUCUGUCAUCUGAGCAACUGGUGGGAACUGAAGAGGGGGCUGGGAAUACUGCUUGCUUUGCAGCCUGAAUUUCCUGAGGCAGUGCCCUUGCUGGGCUUUUGCCACCCCUCCCCCACCUCCACUCUGCUGAGGGAAAGCCAGCUUUUUGUCCCCUAGAAACAAAAUCUUUGCAAGCCUCAUCUCAGCCCUUGCUGUUAUUUCCUUUGUUCACCUAUUUUCCCAACUGCUCUCGUAGAUUUGUUGUUUGCAAUAACUUUGUGAUAAAUAAGGCAGAAAAGGUUUCCAGAAACCCGAGGAUUCGGAGGUUGAAGGAUGUAUGGGAGACUUCCUGCUGUGCCUACACCUUAGUGACUACACCAGAAAAUGGAGCCAACUAGUAUGUUUGGUUAGAAAAGGUCUAGGGAAAACUGCCUAGUUCUAAAAUGAGUGAGAGCCUAACUGCUAAUAGAGCCCCAAGAUUGCCCUGAGAAUGAAGUAAUGACUAUAAGCUACCUACCCAUGCACAAUUCAGUGUGUGCAGCCUCAACAGUUUUCAAGCGAAUUCGCUUGAAAUCUUUUCUCCUUUCUAUGCAUUCAACUAAACUAAGGGAGUCAACCAUAGGGAAUUAAUUUAGCGGAGUCCUCAAUAGAACCUUUUUAGCCAUUACAAAUAAACAUUAUAAAAACUGCACAGAAACUUAGAAAAAUGCUUAAGAUAACAGGUUUUUAAAUAUCAAGGCCACAGAAUUACACAGGUUGUACUGGCUGAAAGUAGAAGCAGAAACUGGAGGGACAUUGCAAAACAAGAAGACUCAUUUACCACUAGAAUUACACCCAAAGUUUUGUUUUGGUUUUCUUUCUUUAGUUUUGUUGUUGUUUUGCUUUGUUGUGUUUUGGUUUUUGUUGUUGUUGUUGUUGAAUUGUGAAAUGUAACUCUCUGAAAAGUCUUUAAGGGUCCUGGGAAAUACAGAAACUUCAGGUUCUGCAUGCAAGGAUCUCAGGCGUCUCGGGGAUCAUCAUGUCACGAGAUACACUGUGCCCUUGUGACAGAUUGAUAACUGAAAGGUCUGGGAACCACUCAUCUUCCUAAGACCAGGUGGGGUGAGUAUUACAAGAGAUGACAAGUGGGCCUGAUCAAAGAGGAAAGGGGUUGCCAUGGAGUGGGAGAGGGUAGGAGUUGUAUUUGCAUACAACUUUAAUGAAAGUUUUAUUAAUUUGCAUUUCUAUUCAGUCCACUGAAGCCUAGACAGGGUAUAUGAUUUUACACACACACACACACACACACACACACACACACACACACACACACACACAUCAUGAUACACACAUGUAUAGCAUGAUAUAUAUGUUAAAAUAUUAAAACAAGUUUUUUUUGUUCAAACCAACAAGAAAAACACUAGCUGCACGCAUUAGAAACACAAGACCAACUGUAAUAUGUUGAGUCAUACAAGUGGCUAUAAAGAAAUAUACAAGCCACGGAACCAGAAAGUCAAAUUUUUAAAGAAUGCUCUCUUAUUAUGUUUAUUGCUAUUUAUUUAUUUACUUGCUUAUUUUUGAGACAAGGUCUUAAGUAGUCCAGAUUGGGGUGGAGCUAAAGCUCACAUUGAAUUCCUCAUUCUCCUGAUUCCACUUCCCAAGUUUUGGGAUUAUAGGUGACUAUAUAUUUUUAUUUUUGAGACAAGCUCUAACUAAUUUGCUCACAAACACUUUAAAGUUACUCUGUAGGCCAGGCAGAAUUUGAAUCUGUCGUUCAUUUGCCUCAGCGUCCUACAUCACUGUGAUUACAGGCCUUCCUUUCACUCAGGAAUUUUGAGGAUAAAAUUAGGACUAUCCUGAAUGAUUGACUAACAGUAAAGGGUUGCAAAAACAAAACAGGCUUUUCUAAGACAAUGGAAUAACAUGCUUUAAUUGAAAUUGAUAUUUCUGAAAAUAAUUUUGUGACACAAGGAUAUGUCACAAACACUGAUAAAAUGUUAAGUGAUAAACAUGCAAAAUAUUUUUCUUCUCUGUAUUCUCAUUUUUACAUGCAUAGGAUCAAUAAGGCUAAGAGGAAAGACAUCAAGAUAUUAUAGUUAUCUCUGAGCUGUGCUUUAAUGUUAUUGAGCAAAGAUGCUGGGGAUUGGGGGUGUGGUUGAAUGAUAGAGAAAGGAGAGAGGGAAACCAAGAUGCUGAACUGUUUUUGCGAUGUGUUCCUAAUAUGUAUUAUUAGUAUAUUGGGGACAUUUUGCAUUCAUGGUUCUGCAUCAAUCAUAUGGGCUGAAGACAGUUACCUCCAAGCUGUGGUACCACCAGUGACAAAAGAAAGAUGCUGAACUGUUUUUGCGAUGUGUUCCUAAUAUGUACUACAAUUAUAUUGGGAACAUUUUGCAUAAAUAGUUUUGUAUCGAUAUAUAAGCAAAAGUCUGGAAGAAAGAAGUGGCACAUCUAACCAUAAUUAAUUAUGGUUUUGCUUUUAUAGCAGGAAUAAGAUGCAGAAUUAUUUUUGCAGUAUGUUCCUGAAUACAUAAUAUAAGCGUAUUGGGAACAUUUUGCAUAUGUAAUUUUGUAUCAAUAUAUGGGGGAAGGAAACAUGACAAACUUUAGGAAGAAACAUGACAAAACUUCAACAGCACUUAUGUCUCUGCUAUUGCAGGUGAUGUUUGUUUUUCUCUAUAUUUUUAUUGUUUUUCCAAAUAUUAUAUAAACAGAGUGUUUUUCUUUUAUGGCCAUAAUAAAACUUAUUUUAUUUUAUCUUAGUAUACAAGAGUCUACAUUGUUUUCUUUGGGGGGAGUAGUUGAAACAGGGUCUCUCCCAUUGCAACCCUGGCUGCCCUGGAACUCACUACAUAGACCAGGCUGGACUCCAGAGAUCCGCCUGCCUCCACCUUUGAAAGUCC